UGGGGAAUCUUGCACAAUGGGGGCAACCCUGAUGCAGCGACGCCGCGUGAGCGAUGAAGCCCUUCGGGGUGUAAAGCUCUUUCGGCAGGAACGAUAAUGACGGUACCUGAAGAAGAAGCUGCGGCUAACUACGUGCCAGCAGCCGCGGUAAUACGUAGGCAGCGAGCGUUGUUCGGAGUUACUGGGCGUAAAGCGUGCGUAGGCGGUCUUGUAAGUCUGGUGUGAAAUCUCCCGGCUCAACUGGGAGGGUGCGCCGGAAACUGCAAGGCUGGAGUAUGGGAGAGGUAGGCGGAAUUCCUGGUGUAGCGGUGAAAUGCGUAGAUAUCAGGAGGAACACCUGUGGUGUAGACGGCUUACUGGACCAUGACUGACGCUGAGGCACGAAAGCGUGGGGAGCAAA
rnacentral:rRNA from 1 species